GAUGAAGAACGUAGCGAAAUGCGAUAAGUAAUGUGAAUUGCAGAAUUCAGUGAAUCAUCGAAUCUUUGAACGCACAUUGCGCCCCCUGGUAUUCCGGGGGGCAUGCCUGUUCGAGCAUCAUUUCACCACUCAAGCCUCGCUUGGUAUUGGGCAACGCGGUCCGCCGCGUGCCUCAAAUCGACCGGCUGGGUCUUCUGUCCCCUAAGCGUUGUGGAAACUAUUCGCUAAAGGGUGUUCGGGAGGCUACGCCGUAAAACAACCCCAUUUCUAAGGUUGACCUCGGAUCAGGUAGGGAUACCCGCUGAACUUAAGCAUAUCAAUAAGCGGAGGA
rnacentral:misc_RNA from 1 species